CAAGACGGAACACAUUCAGGAGAGAAGGCAAUUUGUGAGAGAAAGACUCAUGAGCUGGAGCACAAAAGUUGCAUUAAAUUAUUUAAAUGUAAGUUAUUUGCACUACCUCCCUUGCUGCCCU